rfam:Pongo abelii chromosome 2b.
CUCUAUGGCCAUAUCACCCUGAAUACACCCAUCUCAUCUGACCUUGGAAGCUAAGGAGGGUUGGGCCUAGUUAGUACUUGGAUGGGAGAAAACAAGUUUAAAAUUGGUCGAAAUUACUC